ACGAAAGUCUGACCGAGCAACGCCGCGUGAGUGAAGAAGGUUUUCGGAUCGUAAAGCUCUGUUGUAAGUCAAGAACGUGUGUGAGAGUGGAAAGUUCACACAGUGACGGUAGCUUACCAGAAAGGGACGGCUAACUACGUGCCAGCAGCCGCGGUAAUACGUAGGUCCCGAGCGUUGUCCGGAUUUAUUGGGCGUAAAGGGAGCGCAGGCGGUCAGGAAAGUCUGGAGUAAAAGGCUAUGGCUCAACCAUAGUGUGCUCUGGAAACUGUCUGACUUGAGUGCAGAAGGGGAGAGUGGAAUUCCAUGUGUAGCGGUGAAAUGCGUAGAUAUAUGGAGGAACACCAGUGGCGAAAGCGGCUCUCUGGUCUGUCACUGACGCUGAGGCUCGAAAGCGUGGGUAGCGAACAGGAUUAGAUACCCUGGUAGUCCACGCCGUAAACGAUGAGUGCUAGGUGUUAGGCCUUUCCGGGGCUUAGUGCCGGAGCUAACGCAAUAAGCACUCCGCCUGGGGAGUACGACCGCAAGGUUGAAACUCAAAGGAAUUGACGGGGGCCCGCACAAGCGGUGGAGCAUGUGGUUUAAUUCGAAGCAACGCGAAGAACCU
rnacentral:rRNA from 1 species